UGGUGUGUUGUGGUGACAAUUUUUUUUUUUUUUUUUUUUUUUUUUUACGUUGUUGCCUAUUGCGCCGGUAGGCAUCUUCCCGGUGGGGCCUGAUGGUCGGCCCAAGGCUUCUUCCAGGUGGGGCCUGAUGGUCGGCCCAAGGCUUCUUCCAGGUGGGGCCUGAUGGUCGGCCCAGCCCGUUCUGGCGCAGGCGAGUGUUUAUAGUGGCGCCAUCUUGCAUUGGCUCAUGCUGCCCCCCGGAACUCGUUCUUGAUUCGCUUGGACGGCUUCCUCUAGAGUCCGGGUUGAUGGGUGGUCUUCAGGACAGCAUGUGGGUAGUUUUAGGCCACUCGGCGGUGACUGAAAAAUCCGAGUGGUAGCGUGAGGAUUCGAACCCGCGUCGUCCAUCACGCGGCGAAUGUUGGUCCAGUACGCUACCAGUUCGGCCACCGCCUACCCGAGUUUAAUGACGAGAUUUUCUAUUCUCUUUUUUCUAUUACUCUCUCGGUCCCACACGUCCUCUGCGUGUAUCGAAACACACGAGAAAUUAAUCAAGAUCAGGGUAUUCAGCGGCUGCCUGGGAUUGAACCCGCGACCAGCGUGACGGGAGAGCCGCUCCUUACCGAGUCGGCCAAAGAGGUACCCCGCUGGCUAAGUGGGUUAUGGGAGGCUCGUUCAUCAGGCCGUCGCCGCACUACAACAAUUGCAAUCUGCACCGCUGUUCCACUUGUUCCGCCCUCCAAAUACUCCUUCCUACCUACGGGGGCUUCGUGGUGCAGUGGUUAGCACACUCGGCUCACAACUGAGAGCCCGGGUUCGAUUCCCGGGCAGAGUUGAAAAAAAUGGGGGGCUUUUCCGAUACCCUACGCCCCUGUCCACCCAGCAGUGAAUGGGUACCAGGCCUUCUCAGGGACAACCAGGAGAAGACGAAGAUGAAAUUACAAAACCCAGAAGGCUGAAAGAGGAAGUCAGUCAGUCAGUCUACAGUCAUUACAAAACCCUGAAGACAAGACUGGAGGAGGAAGUCAGUCUAGUGUCAUCCCAAGAGGAGGCGGCCUGAGGUGCCAGCCAUCCACAGUCCACUCUUAUUCUCCCGUCCACUGAAGAAGGCACCAAGUAAGAGUUGCAAGGCAGAAGUGUGAGCUACAGAAAAAAGUGGCAAGAUGCAGUGUGGAGGGCCAGUUUCUCAAGAUGAGCCGGAGCAAGGCUGCCUCAAGCUGCUGUCCAAUCAGCGAAGAGAUCACCUCGGCAGCCCGGCAGGCCACAAUGGCAAUGUUCAGACUACAACAGCGUUCAGGGAAAACAAAA